rnacentral:rRNA from 1 species
UACGGAGGAUGCGAGCGUUAUCCGGAUUUAUUGGGUUUAAAGGGUGCGUAGGCGGGCUUUUAAGUCAGCGGUAAAAAUUCGGGGCUCAACCCCGUCCGGCCGUUGAAACUGGGGGUCUUGAGUGGGCGAGAAGAAGGCGGAAUGCGUGGUGUAGCGGUGAAAUGCAUAGAUAUCACGCAGAACCCCGAUUGCGAAGGCAGCCUUCCAGCGCCCUACUGACGCUGAGGCACGAAAGUGCGGGGAUCGGACAGG